rnacentral:piRNA from 2 species
CCACAAGGAAAGAAGACGAAGUUUGAAUA